rnacentral:tRNA from 1 species
GCCGAUGUAGCCUAGCGGUUAGGCGGCUGUCUUGUGAACAGCUCCAGGCGGUUCGACUCCGCACGUCGGCU